UGAGUUUGAUCCUGGCUCAGAAUGAACGUUGGCGGCGUGGAUUAGGCAUGCAAGUCGUGCGAUAUUCCCUCGCAAGGGGGAUGAAAGCGGCGAAAGGGAGAGUAACGCGUGGAUACCUACCCUGGGGACCGGGAUAGCCGUGGGAAACUGCGGGUAAUACCGGAUAACGUCUUCGGACCAAAGGUGUGAUUCCGCCCUGGGAUGGGUCCGCGUCCUAUUAGCUAGUUGGCAGGGUAAUGGCCUACCAAGGCGAUGAUGGGUACGGGGUGUGAGAGCAUGACCCCGCUCACUGGGACUGAGACACUGCCCAGACACCUACGGGUGGCUGCAGUCGAGGAUCUUCGGCAAUGGGCGCAAGCCUGACCGAGCGACGCCGUGUGCGGGAUGAAGGCCUUCGGGUUGUAAACCGCUGUCAGAGGGGAGGAAGUACCGGGAAGUAAUACAUAAUCGACCCGGUUUGACCUAUCCUCAGAGGAAGUACGGGCUAAGUUCGUGCCAGCAGCCGCGGUAAGACGGACCGUACAAACGUUAUUCGGAAUCACUGGGCUUAAAGGGUGCGUAGGCGGCCCGGCAAGUUGGGUGUGAAAUCCCUCGGCUCAACCGAGGAAUUGCGCUCAAAACUGCCGGGCUUGAGGGAGAUAGAGGUGAGCGGAACUUAAGGUGGAGCGGUGAAAUGCGUUGAUAUCCUAAGGAACACCGGUAGCGAAAGCGGCUCACUGGGUCUCUGUCUGACGCUGAGUGCACGAAAGCUAGGGGAGCGAAGAGGAUUAGAUACCCUCGUAGUCCUAGCUGUAAACGAUGAGCACUUGGUUGGAGGGUCCUCCAUAGCCCUCCAGCCGGAGCGAAAGUGUUAAGUGCUCCGCCUGGGGAGUAUGUUCGCAAGGCUGAAACUCAAAAGAAUUGACGGGGGCUCACACAAGCGGUGGAGGAUGUGGCUUAAUUCGAGGCUACGCGAAGAACCUUAUCCUAGUCUUGACAUGCACGGAUUAACCCCGUGAAAGCGGGGCCACACCCGCAAGGGUGGAACGUGCACAGGUGCUGCAUGGCUGUCGUCAGCUCGUGUCGUGAGAUGUCGGGUUAAGUCCCUUAACGAGCGAAACCCUUGUCGCUAGUUGCCAGCGAGUAAUGUCGGGGACUCUAGCGAGACUGCCGGUGUUAAACCGGAGGAAGGCGGGGAUGACGUCAAGUCCUCAUGGCCUUUAUGACUAGGGCUGCACACGUCCUACAAUGGCGCGCACAAAGCGACGCGAACUCGCGAGAGCAAGCAAAUCGCAAAAAACGCGCCCCAGUUCGGAUUGCAGGCUGCAACCCGCCUGCAUGAAGCCGGAAUCGCUAGUAAUCGCGGGUCAGCAUACCGCGGUGAAUGUGUUCCUGAGCCUUGUACACACCGCCCGUCAAGCCACGAAAGUGGGGGGCAUCCGAAGUCGCCGAGGUAACCCGAAAGGGAGCUAAGCGCCGAAGAUGAACUCCGCGAUUGGGACUAAGUCGUAACAAGGUAGCCGUAGGGGAACCUGCGGCUGGAUCACCUCCUUUCU
rnacentral:rRNA from 1 species